CCCUUUGAUACUCUGGGCGGCACGCGCGCUACAAUGGAUAACUUAACGUGUUACAUGUCCGAAAGGAUGUAUGCAAAUCACAAAUGUUAUGUCUCGAGUGGGAUAGUUUACUGCAAUUAUAGACUUGAACUAGGAAUCCCUUGUAGGUACACUGAAGCAUAGUGUACCGAAUACGUCCCUGCCGUUUGUACACACCGCCCGUCGUUUCUUCCGACUGAUACUCAUUGUGAAUUGCGGGGAUAACGUUGCUGAAAACCGUUGUAAAUGCUGGGUAUUGGAGGAAGAAAAAGUCGUAACA
rnacentral:rRNA from 1 species